UACGAAGGGUGCAAACGUUGCUCGGAAUUAUUGGGCGUAAAGCGCACGUAGGCGGCUUUGUAAGUCGGAUGUGAAAUCCCUCGGCUUAACCAAGGAAGUGCAUCCGAAACUACAGAGCUUGAGUACUUAAGAGGAUCGCGGAAUUCCCGGUGUAGAGGUGAAAUUCGUAGAUAUCGGGAGGAACACCAGUGGCGAAGGGCGGC
rnacentral:rRNA from 1 species